UACGUAGGGUGCGAGCGUUGUCCGGAAUUACUGGGCGUAAAGAGCUCGUAGGUGGUUUGUCGCGUUGUUCGUGAAAACUCACAGCUUAACUGUGGGCGUGCGGUCGAUACGGGCAUCACUGGAGUUCGGCAGGGGAGACUGGAAUUCCUGGUGUAGCGGUGAAAUGCGCAGAUAUCAGGAGGAACACCGGUGGCGAAGGCGGGUCUCUGGGCCGGUACUGACGCUGAGACGCGAAAGCGUGGGGAGCGAACAGG
rnacentral:rRNA from 1 species